UUCAAAUCAGUCCCAGCAGCAGCCCACUCCCAUAUUCUCCCUCUAACCUAGCCAAAAUCCUUCUUCUUCCACUAAUUCCAAAGAAGGGCCAACCUCAGCCAACCCAUCCUUUAACCCAUCCCACCUCUUCUUUUUUCUUCAGAAGAAGAUCCUUGAGACACGUAUUCACAACAGCAAACGCAGAAUCCAGAACAAUGUCACGUUCUUCGUUUUACUUUUUCACACGAACUCAAUGAAAAGAAGCCCAUAAAAUCUCGAUUCCAAGAAACUCAAGCCCACGUCGAGCAGCCCAGCAAGGUUGCGACCCCGCCCGCCUUGCCCAUGUUGUAUUCCCCAGUACGAUAGUACUGUUCCCAGAAGAGAAAAAACAACACAUCUCUGUUCUUGGGGUCGUGAGAUCGAGUCACGUCUCACCCCAAGGACGAUCGAAACGAUCGGGCCAUCCAUUUCCCUUUCCACUUUCGGAGUGGGUUCAAAUGGCAGGUAAAAGUUUGUUCGCCCAAAACAGUGAAAGAUCUCUGGGCGUUUGAAUUUGGAAUGGGCCUCGAAACUAGAUAUUUUUCGUCUCCCCCCCCCCCCUGGAAAUGAAAACCUUAAGAAUCUCCUAUAUAUUUCUCUUCUGCUUCAUGGUGAGAGGGGGAUUUUUUCUUUUGGAUAAGAAACUUUUUUGAGGAAGUUGAAAAAAAAACAUAGAAAAAUAUAGAAAAUUUGGAUCGAAGUAGAAAUAAGAACGAUAGUUUUGUAUUCUUCGAGUUUCUGAGCCACUGUUUGGAGUUCGAGUUUCUCGUCAUACCUUCACUGUUGGUGGUGGAAUAGUUCGUUUCUAGCUCGUGGUUUUGUUCCAAUUUCGCUACCUUAAGAAGUUUAUCAAGAGAUCUUUCUUCCCUGCAUUUCGAGAGAGCCGUUAAGGCUCGAAUCCUUUAUUGAGUCGUCCAAUCAAUAGAAUUUAAGAGAAAUUUCAUGAUUCCGGCGUAUAGGUUUUCGAGUCAGAAAAUUCGAAACAUGGUCAAGAAGUUGAAGAUUUUGGGUCGAGAAGGCUAAAUUUAUUUUCUAAUUUUUUAUUUUGUUAUCUUUGGGCCUAAGACCUUAUUCCUUUUAUCAUCAUUGUAUAGUUAGAAAAUUUGGGCAGGUGAAAAUGGGACAAAAACCCAAGACAUAAUGGGUCCAAAUACCGGUCCAGACGGACAUAAACCGGAUUGGACCCAAUUCUCUCUCUCUCUGUCUAUCUCUCUUUUACUUUAUCGUGUAUUUAUUUGUUGUUAAUUGUCAUUAGUUUUAGGGAUAAAAAUUCAAUCCCAUUCAAGA